AGAAAUAUGUCUGACAAAAGAGUUACUUUGAUAGAGUAAAAAAUAGGAGUGAAAGCCCCCUUGUUUCUA
rnacentral:tRNA from 1 species